GACGAACGCUGGCGGCGUGCUUAACACAUGCAAGUCGAGCGGUAAGGCCCUUUCGGGGGUACACGAGCGGCGAACGGGUGAGUAACACGUGGGUGACCUGCCCUCAGCUCUGGGAUAAGCCUGGGAAACCGGGUCUAAUACCGGAUAUGACUCCAUGACGCAUGUUGUGGGGUGGAAAGCCUUGUGCGGCUGAGGAUGGGCCCGCGGCCUAUCAGCUUGUUGGUGGGGUGAUGGCCUACCAAGGCGACGACGGGUAGCCGGCCUGAGAGGGCGACCGGCCACACUGGGACUGAGACACGGCCCAGACUCCUACGGGAGGCAGCAGUGGGGAAUCUUGCGCAAUGGGCGAAAGCCUGACGCAGCAACGCCGCGUGAGGGAUGACGGCCUC
rnacentral:rRNA from 1 species